AAUGAACGCUGGCGGCAUGCCUUACACAUGCAAGUCGAACGGCAGCGCGGGGCAACCUGGCGGCGAGUGGCGAACGGGUGAGUAAUAUAUCGGAACGUACCCUGGAGUGGGGGAUAACGUAGCGAAAGUUACGCUAAUACCGCAUACGAUCCAUGGAUGAAAGCAGGGGACCGCAAGGCCUUGUGCUCCUGGAGCGGCCGAUAUCUGAUUAGCUAGUUGGUGGGGUAAAGGCCUACCAAGGCAUCGAUCAGUAGCUGGUCUGAGAGGACGACCAGCCACACUGGAACUGAGACACGGUCCAGACUCCUACGGGAGGCAGCAGUGGGGAAUUUUGGACAAUGGGCGCAAGCCUGAUCCAGCAAUGCCGCGUGAGUGAAGAAGGCCUUCGGGUUGUAAAGCUCUUUUGUCAGGGAAGAAACGGUCGUGGCUAAUAUCCAUGGCUAAUGACGGUACCUGAAGAAUAAGCACCGGCUAACUACGUGCCAGCAGCCGCGGUAAUACGUAGGGUGCAAGCGUUAAUCGGAAUUACUGGGCGUAAAGCGUGCGCAGGCGGUUUUGUAAGUCUGUCGUGAAAUCCCGGGCUCAACCUGGGAAUUGCGAUGGAGACUGCAAGGCUAGAAUCUGGCAGA
rnacentral:rRNA from 1 species